rnacentral:rRNA from 1 species
GUGGGGAAUCUUGCGCAAUGGGCGAAAGCCUGACGCAGCCAUGCCGCGUGAAUGAUGAAGGUCUUAGGAUUGUAAAAUUCUUUCACCGGGGACGAUAAUGACGGUACCCGGAGAAGAAGCCCCGGCUAACUUCGUGCCAGCAGCCGCGGUAAUACGAAGGGGGCUAGCGUUGCUCGGAAUUACUGGGCGUAAAGGGCGCGUAGGCGGACAGUUUAGUCAGAGGUGAAAGCCCAGGGCUCAACCUUGGAAUUGCCUGUGAUACUGGCUGUCUUGAGUACGGGAGAGGUGAGUGGAACUCCGAGUGUAGAGGUGAAAUUCGUAGAUAUUCGGAAGAACACCAGUGGCGAAGGCGACUCACUGGCCCGUUACUGACGCUGAGGCGCGAAAGCGUGGGGAGCAAACAGGAUUAGAAACCCGAGUAGUCC